GGAGUUAGCCGGUGCUUCUUCUGUGAGUGAUGUCCUUCCUGCCGGUUAUUGACCCGCAGGCCUUCUUCCUCACUGAAAGUGCUUUACAACCCGAAGGCCUUCUUCACACACGCGGCAUGGCUGGAUCAGGGUUGCCCCCAUUGUCCAAUAUUCCCCACUGCUGCCUCCCGUAGGAGUCUGGGCCGUGUCUCAGUCCCAGUGUGGCUGAUCAUCCUCUCAGACCAGCUACGGAUCGUCGCCUUGGUGAGCCGUUACCUCACCAACCAGCUAAUCCGACAUAGGCUCAUCCGAUAGCGCGAGGCCCGAAGGUCCCCCGCUUUCCCCCGUAGGGCGUAUGCGGUAUUAGCCUGGGUUUCCCCAGGUUAUCCCCCACUACCGGGCAGAUUCCUAUGCAUUACUCACCCGUCCGCCGCUCGCCACCAGGGAGCAAGCUCCCCGUGCUGCCGCUCGACUUGCAUGUGUUAGGUCGUCGCCGCCGACGCGUCACUCUGAGCAUGAUACAACUACUGA
rnacentral:rRNA from 1 species